GGGCUGACUGACACAGCUGGCAGCCAGUGAAAGCUGGUAGAGGAGCCAGAAACCCAGCCACCACUUUCUAGGUUCCUUCUGGAGGGAAUGACUGCAGCUCUGAUGCUGGCUGUGAUCGUACAAUGCUGGACCCAUGGCUCACCAGGGACAGGUGUAUCACUUCCCAGCAUGAAAGUAUGAACAGAAGAAGUAGAAGGAGAAAGAAAGGAGAAGGAGGAGGAGGAGAAGGAGGAGGAGGAGGAGGAAGAAGAAGAAGAAGACGACGAGGACGAAGACGAGGCUUCUGGACAUCUCUUCUUUCAGUAAGGAAGUGUUAUGGUUUGUGUGUUGAGUUGUCCCUGCCAAGCCUCAUGCAGUCAUGGGGUGGUUUCUAGAGUCUGUAAUCAAUUUUUGGUCCAAUGCUUGGAUUAUGGGUGUGAGUGCUACACAUGCCUUGGGGCGGAUAAUCUGAAUUACAGUGUAAGAAGGGAAGAGAUGCCAGCUAGCAACCAGGGCUGCUGCGCCUCCCUUUUGCUCUUUGCUGUUUUCUGCUGCC